ensembl:lncRNA
GGAAGAAGGUAGGGUGGGGUGGGCAGAGGCUGCUGUGUGAGCAGCCAGCUCAGGGAGAGAGAAGCGGCUGAGUCCUGGCUCCGUCCUGGGCUGAGUCGCUGAGUCCUCCGAGCUCAGUCCUCCUGUCUGGGGGCUGGAGUCAGUAGCUACUCCACGAGGAUCCAGGAGGAUUAAAUAUGCUAAGGCUGUCAGCUGAAUGAGAAUGGAGAGCUCUGCCUGCUUCUCCUGCUGCACUGUGCCUGGUGUCCAGAGCCGGCCCAGCAGCAGCAGGGCCUCAGUGACAUGAGCUGGGUGAGUGAACCCUGCAGACCACACAGGAGCACGCUUCCAGGAGUGCUAAGCGCCGUCAGCUCCUUCACUGUCCAUGGAGCCCAGCUCUGUGCCCGGCCCUGACUUGCGCUGUAGGCACGAUGGUCGUGAAGGAGACAAAUUCUGCCGCCCCCGUGGAGCCGACGUCACAGAGGGACAAACAGUGAGCAGAGCACAGCAGGCCCUGCUCUCUGUGGGUGAAGGAAAAUCUCUGCCUGCUCACAUGCUGGGACCAUCCUGGGCCAUCUUGUGAGCAGGUGGAAAGACUCCACACACAAUGCCACCUGCCUUGCGAGCAGCAGCCAGUGGCCUCCUGGACAUCCUCAGGCUUCUGAGGACCCCCUGCGGAAGCUCCCUGAUACACAACCCUCCCUCUGGACCCUAGGAUGUCUGGCUUCCCAUGGAGCUCCAUUGGAUGUGGAGCUGGGUGAGCAGCCCACACCUGGGUCAGCACUCCCACGGGGACCACUCCGCACCACUCAUGAAAAGGAGACAUCGUCCCAGUGGACAGGCCCAACUCCUGCGUUACAGUCAGAAAACUCAGCUGCACGUGGAAGUGACCCUGAGGCCCCUUUGGGGUCCCAAACCUGUGCUGCUUGUCUGCCCCUGCAGCAGGCUGGCUCAUGGGACUCAGGUACCCUGUUCUGGACCUCUUGGUUGUAGUCAUAAAGGCCACAGGAUCAAAGUUUCCUAUGCUCCUGCUGAAAACGUUAGGUAGUUUUAGCAGCAGUUGUUGCCUUUCUGCCCUGCAACACGGCUCCCAGUCUUUUCCCUUCAGAACUGCAUUCGUUGCUAUGAGAUUUACCACAAUAAUUCUGAGUCACUUCUCCACUUAAUUGUUCUGAUCACCUCCACGUUCUACAUCCCUACGCGCGUCUCAAGCUGGAGCACGCACAGCCCCAGCUCUGCAUAAGGAGGGUGCAAAACAGCAUAUGGUAACACAGCUUUCUGGAGCAUCAAGUUUAUUACAAGACUUGGAAAACCAAGGACUUUCCGAGAGCUGUCCGUCCUCCCAUAAACAUGGAAGAAGAGACGGGGAGGAUGGGGAGGGAAGUUCUGCCCCCAGGAAAGCAGUCCAGGCUUUGAGGUUUCACCUCAGUGAGGCCGAGGGGCAGACCUGCAGCGAGGGUGGCCUCUCCACGUGACCCCAGGCGCCUCCAGGCCAUCCUCUAGCUUCACCGAGUGUUUUGGACACGAUGCUUCUUAGGCCAUGGAGGUACCAGGUCCCUUCGAAGUUGAAUCCCUGUAGAGAGUGCUGCUGCAGUUGGCACAGCUCCGCCAGGUGCUGGACCGAGGCUUCUCGCCUGCACAUCCGUGCACACACACAUGUCUUUCUUGUCCGGCCCCCACUCACAGCGGAAGGUGUCCACCUUGGGCUGAAGCCCCACAUUGCAGGCCGGCUCCAGAUUCCGCGUCUCGUCUCCAUGUAAACGCAUGGGGGCGGUCCGAUCGCCCGCA